rnacentral:misc_RNA from 1 species
CGACCCGUGAACAUGUAAAUACAACUUGGUGACGGGGAGAUGGACCUUUGUACUGAUCCCCAACACCUCCCGGCGUGCUUGCGUGGUGUCUCUUUUAGGGCACCAUGGAUGUCUCGYCGGAUCUAAACAAACCCCGGCACGGAAUGUGCCAAGGAAAACAAAAAUAUGAGAAGGACUCGUCCUGUUAUGUCCCGUUCGCGGUGUGCAUACUGGUCGUGGCCUCCUUGGAAACA